rnacentral:rRNA from 1 species
UACGUAGGUGACCAGCGUUGUCCGGAAUCAUUGGGCGUAAAGCGCGUGUAGGCGGUUCAGUAAGUCUGCUGUGAAAGUCCAGGGCUCAACCCUGGGAUGCCGGUGGAUACUGCUGGGCUAGAGUACGGAAGAGGCGAGUGGAAUUCCCGGUGUAGCGGUGAAAUGCGCAGAUAUCGGGAGGAACACCAGUAGCGAAGGCGGCUCGCUGGGCCAUUCCUGACGCUGAGACGCGAAAGCUAGGGGGAGCGAACAGG